rnacentral:lncRNA from 2 species
CACGGACAGGCAGCUCCUCGUCGUCCAGGACAUCGCCGCAGUGCUCUUCCCGGCCACCGAGCGCGUCCUCGGCAGGGCCGACGACCUCGUCCUCCUCGUCGUGUCCCUGCCCGCCAAGCUCACGGCGUGAUCGACGGCCUCGAGGCCUUCGUCGCCAGCGCUGUGGGGCACCCGCUGGGGCACGGCAGUGGUGGCGGCCGAGCACGGGGGAGCUCCACAUCCCAUCCACUGUCUUCCGCUUCGCCUAGCUCGCCCUCCGCUGCUCUGCCUGCCGCCGCGCUCGCCCUCCGCUGCUUUGCCCACUACUGCGCUCGCCCGCCGCCGCUCCUCCGCCACGCUCGCAGAUUGUGUGUUAGUGGCUGGUUGCAGGAAGCAGCCAUAUACACAUGCUUGGCUAAUAUAUACGUCUGCAUGUUGUUGGCGGCAAACCAACAAGAAGCUAGCUGGUCGUCUCCAUGCAUGCAUAUAUAUGCUCGUACGAAGACGCAUAUGCAUGCGGCCGUCUGUACUCGGCGUAUAUGCGUAUGA